rnacentral:rRNA from 1 species
UACGUAGGUGGCAAGCGUUGUUCGGAAUUAUUGGGCGUAAAGGGCGCGUAGGCGGCUUGUUAAGUCAGUUGUGAAAGCCCGGGGCUCAACCCCGGAGGGUCGACUGAUACUGGUGAGCUGGAGUACAGAAGAGGUAGCUGGAAUUCCCGGUGUAGCGGUGAAAUGCGUAGAGAUCGGGAGGAACACCAGUGGCGAAGGCGGCUACCUGGACCAGCACUGACACUGAGGCACGAAAGCGUGGGGAGCAAACAGG